ensembl:antisense Gm36992 predicted gene, 36992
AGCUGUAGCCACACAGUCUCCGUGGCUUCAGCUUAACUAGGAAGUGCAGACAAAUGAAGAUAUGGCUUCCUAAAGGAGAAAAACAGAGAGAGAGAAUGCAACAACCCUGCCAAUGCUCAUUUUCAUGAGAGAGAACUUCAUUCAGUCACAGUAUGUGACACAGAAGCCAUGUCUCAAGCUCAGCUUGUUAUGAUGCAUUGAUUCUUCAAUCAAGGCUCUCUAGCUGUUCCAUUCAACCAGAAUGUGUUCUUAUUAUGAAUGGAGUAUACAAUCUCCUGUGCUUCUUAUACACUAACAAGGUCCCAGGUACAACAGUUAUUCUGUUGCCAGAGGAGAACAGACACAAAUCACAGCUUUGCAGCUAGCCCAGUGCAAUCGGUUUUACUCCAUUAAAAGGAAGAGAACCUAAAGGGUUAUUAAUUAAAGUU